rnacentral:misc_RNA from 1 species
GAUGAAGAACGUAGCGAAAUGCGAUAAGUAGUGUGAAUUGCAGAAUUCAGUGAAUCAUCGAAUCUUUGAACGCACAUUGCGCCCCUUGGUAUUCCAUGGGGCAUGCCUGUUCGAGCGUCAUUUGUACCCUCAAGCUUUGCUUGGUGUUGGGCGUCUUGUCGUAUUACGACUCGCCUUAAAUACAUUGGCAGCCGGCACUUUGGCCUAGGAGCGCAGCACAUUUUGCGAUCGUAGCCCGUUGUACUGGCGUCCAUCAAGAACAUUUACCACGUUUGACCUCGGAUCAGGUAGGGAUACCCGCUGAACUUAAGCAUAUCAAUAGCGGAGGA